rnacentral:rRNA from 1 species
AUUGAACGCUGGCGUCAGGCAUAACACAGGCAAGUCGCGCGAGCGUCGUACGGGGGAGUAAUUUCUGGAUCACUGCCUUAUGGAGGGGGAUAACUACUUUAAACGGUAGCUAUUACCGCCUACCUUCAGCUGUGCCCAGAUGGGAUUAGCUAGUAGGUGGGGUAAUGGCCCACCUAGUCGACGAUCCCUCGCUGGUCUGAUAGGAUGACCAGCCAGAGUGGAACUUAGAGACGGUCCAGACUCCGACGGGAGGCAGCAGUGGGGAAGAUGGCAAAAUGGGCGCAAGACUGAUGGAGCCAGGCCGCGGGUAUGAAGAAGGCCUUCGGGUUGUAAAGUACUGGCAGCGGGGAGGCGGUACCCGCAGAAGAAGCACCGGCUAACGCCGUGCCAGCAGCCGCGGUAAUAC